GUUCUUGGCAGAAGACAUUCCUGUGUCCUACUAGAUGGAGCUCUGAGCUAGCCUUGUAGGUGGGGAAGACCCAGAUUCCCGAGGGACUCAUGAUCUGGCGCUGUCUUCACUGCAUACCUGAAUUCCAGGUUCUGGAGUGGGCAGGGGUUGCUGAGAAUCUUCGCCCUUUGGCCUCUCCCGGGGAAGUGCUGCUGUGUGGUGCGCUCACUGUCAGCAGGGCUGUCUGGGCAGAACAGGCCCUAAUUCCUGCUGUGGAGUGGGAGGGGACCCUGGUGGGGGCAUAAACACAUCUGCAUUAAGCUGUUCUUGCACUGCUAUAUUGCCCAUCUGAGAGUGCACACACAGCCUCUGGCAGGCAUCCACUCUGUACCUACACACAAAGUGUUACCACCUGCCUCCAUCCAACAGGUGCUUAUUGGGCAUCACCUUAAGAAGCCAGAAAAGAGGAAAUUAAGCCAAAAGUAAUCAGAAGAAAUUAAAUAAUAG
rnacentral:lncRNA from 1 species